GAUGAACGCUAGCGGCAGGCUUAAUACAUGCAAGUCGUGGGGCAGCAGGGGUGUAGCAAUACAUCUGCUGGCGACCGGCAAACGGGUGCGUAACACGUACGCAACCUUCCCGUUACUGUGGCAUAGCCCAGGGAAACUUGGAUUAAUACCACAUAUUAUAUAGAGAGGGCAUCCUUUUUAUAUCAAAGCUUCGGCGGUAACGGAUGGGCGUGCGGUUGAUUAGGUAGUUGGCGGGGUAACGGCCCACCAAGCCUACGAUCAAUAGCUGACGUGAGAGCAUGAUCAGCCACACGGGCACUGAGACACGGGCCCGACUCCUACGGGAGGCAGCAGUAAGGAAUAUUGGGCAAUGGACGAAAGUCUGACCCAGCCAUGCCGCGUGAAGGAUUAAGGUCCUCUGGAUUGUAAACUUCUUUUCUCUGGGGCGAAAACCAGCUAUUCUUAGCUAUUUGACAGUACCAGAGGAAUAAGCACCGGCUAACUCCGUGCCAGCCGCCGCGGUAACAC
rnacentral:rRNA from 1 species